UUCAAGGCGAAAGCCGAAAAUUUUCAAGUAAAACAAAAAUGCCUAACUAUAUAAACAAAGCGAAUUAUAAUACACUUGAAUAAUUUUGAACGAAAGGGAAUACGGUUCCAAUUCCGUAACCUGUUGAGUAUCGCGUUUGUUAUUAAAUAUGGGCCUCGUGCUCAUCCUGGCAACAGGAACGACCAUAAAGAAGCCGUCGAGAGAUAUCGGAAGAGUUUUCUUUUCUGUUUUAUAGCCGUACUACCAUGGAAGUCUUUCGCAGAGAGAUAUGGUAGAUGGGCUAGAAGAGCAUGACAUAUACUGUUGUGUCGAUAUUUUCUCCUCGGACCUUGAAAAUUUAUGGUGGGGACACGCAAACUUCUCAACAGGCCGUACCAAUAUCCGCAGCUGGUCUCCAAGGUGAAGAGUCUCUAGUCGAUAGAAUAAUGUAGGUAAGGGAAGUCGGCAAAUUAGAUCCGUAACUUCGGGAUAAGGAUUGGCUCUGAAGAUUGAGAUAGUCGGCUUGAUUGGGAAACAAUAACAUGGUUUUAUGUGCUCGUUCUGGUAAAUAGAGUUUCUAGCAUUUAUGUUAGUUACUUGUUCCCCGGAUAGUUUAGUUACGUAGCCAAUUGUGGAACUUUCUUGCUAAAAUUUUUAAGAAUACUAUUUGGGUUAAACCAAUUAGUUCUUAUUAAUUAUAACGAUUAUCAAUUAACAAUCAAUUAGAACUGGCACGGACUUGGGGAAUCCGACUGUCUAAUUAAAACAAAGCAUUGUGAUGGCCCUAGCGGUGUUGACACAAUGUGAUUUCUCGCCCAGUGCUCUGAAUGUCAAAGUGAAGAAAUUCAAGUAAGCGCGGUCAACGGCGGGAGUAACUAUGACUCUCUUAAGGUAGCCAAAUGCCUCGUCAUCUAAUUAGUGACGCGCAUGAAUGGAUUAACGAGAUUCCUACUGUCCCUCUACCCAUAUCGCGGUAGAGCCUUCAUGCUCGACGUUUGAGUUACGGUGCUAGUUGCGCAAAACUCGGUGUGUGACGCAGAGAUCAGUAGAGAUUUUAGGUAGAUCUCGCUCCUCAGCAAGGGGGAGUGCUUGCCCGGCAAGCAAGUACUCGAAUUGCUACCGGGUGGUCGCUAUGUACAUAGCUAUAGCUUCUAGUCCGGGACGCUUGUCGGCGUAUCCAGACACAUGCACCAUAUGCUCACUUGUGGGUGUAUAGGGUGCCGUGGUUGUAAUCCCUUCAGUGUGGAACACGCCACGUAAAAUAAGUUCGGAGGGAUCCGAAAAGCAUACAUUGUCCCUAUCUACUAUCUAGCGAAACCACAGCCAAGGGAACGGGCUUGGAAUAAUUAGCGGGGAAAGAAGACCCUUUUGAGCUUGACUCUAAUCUGGCAGUGUAAGGAGACAUAAGAGGUGUAGAAUAAGUGGGAGAUAUUAGACCUCGGUUUGGUAUCGUCAAUGAAAUACCACUACUCUUAUUGUUUCCUUACUUACUUGAUUAAAUGGAACGUGUAUCAUUUCCUAGCCAUUAUACGGAUAUAUUUAUUAUAUCUUAUGGUAUUGGGUUUUGAUGCAAGCUUCUUGAUCAAAGUAUCACGAGUUUGUUAUAUAAUCGCAAACAAAUUCUUUAAUAAAACGAUGCAUUUAUGUAUUUUUGAUUUGAAAAUUUGGUAUAACUCCAAUUACUCAGGUAUGAUCCAAUUCAAGGACAUUGCCAGGUAGGGAGUUUGACUGGGGCGGUACAUCUCUCAAAUAAUAACGGAGGUGUCCAAGGCCAGCUCAGUGCGGACAGAAACCACACAUAGAGCAAAAGGGCAAAUGCUGACUUGAUCUCGGUGUUCAGUACACACAGGGACAGCAAAAGCUCGGCCUAUCGAUCCUUUUGGUUUAAAGAGUUUUUAACAAGAGGUGUCAGAAAAGUUACCAUAGGGAUAACUGGCUUGUGGCGGCCAAGCGUUCAUAGCGACGUCGCUUUUUGAUCCUUCGAUGUCGGCUCUUCCUAUCAUUGUGAAGCAAAAUUCACCAAGCGUUGGAUUGUUCACCCAUGCAAGGGAACGUGAGCUGGGUUUAGACCGUCGUGAGACAGGUUAGUUUUACCCUACUAAUGACAAAACGUUGUUGCGACAGCAUUCCUGCGUAGUACGAGAGGAACCGCAGGUACGGACCAAUGGCACAAUACUUGUUCGAGCGAACAGUGGUAUGACGCUACGUCCGUUGGAUUAUGCCUGAACGCCUCUAAGGUCGUAUCCGUGCUGGACUGCAAUGAUAAAUAAGGGGCAAUUUGCAUUGU
rnacentral:rRNA from 1 species